rnacentral:rRNA from 1 species
GAUGAACGCUGGCGGCGUGCCUAAUACAUGCAAGUCGAGCGGAGCGGGGACGGGUGAGUAACACGUGGAUAACUUCCGAUAAGACUGGGAUAACUGCGGGAACGCGGAGCUAUACCUGAUACUUAUAGAUGGUUCCGCGCUGCAUUAUCUAGUUGUGAAGGUAACGGCUUACCAAGGCAACGUAGCCUAGCCGAUCUGAGAGGGUGAUAGGCACCAGGUGAACUGAGACACGGUCCAUACUCCUACGGUAGGCAGCAGUAGGGAAUCUUCCGCAAUGGGCGCAAGCCUGACGGAGCCAUGCCGCGUGAGUGAUGAAGGUCUUCGGAUCGUAAAACUCUUUUAUUAGGGAAGCGGUACCUACUCAGAAAGCCACGGCUAACUACGUGCCAGCAGCCGCGGUAAUUC